GGAUUGAUAAUGAUAAUAUAUAAACUAACUUCGCGUUGCUGCAUGUUACGAUCAACUUUAGAGAAGAAAGAAAAACCAGAAACGUAACUAAAUAAAAAGGAUUGAUAAUGAUAAUAUAUAAACUAACUUCGCGUUGCUGCAUGUUACGAUCAACUUUAGAGAAGAAAGAAAAACCAGAAACGUAACUAAAUAAAAAGGAUUGAUAAUGAUAAUAUAUAAACUAACUUCGCAUUGCCGCAUGUUACGAUCAACUUUAGAGAAGAAAGAAAAACCAGAAACGAGAUAACUGGUCGUGGCACACGUUCCCCUAUACUAGAAAUCUUCUGCCAAUGUUGAUUAGAAGUUGAGUAGCAUUAGUCGUUUAAACAAAAAAAAAAACUAGAAAUCUUCUGAUUUAAGCAGCAAACCUAGUGGGCUUCCGUAUUUUAACUUUGUUUUCGGAAUGAAGAUCGAGAUUUCCGUUGGUAAUUUGAUUUUGUUUAUGGAACAGAGAUCUAGAUUUCCGUAAGUAUCCUUUUAAAAAAAGUCCGUAAGUAUUUUAUUUUAUUUUGAUUCUUCGCUGUGGAAUGGUUUAUAUGUAUUGCAAAAAGCCCAAAGUAAUUUUAUGUUACAAAUUUGGAAAUUGGGGGCCCAAAUUUUUCUAGGGCCCUAAAUAAGAUAUGGUCUAUAACUAUAACUAACACAUCAAACAAUAUAGAUUUUUAACUAAAUAUUAAAGUCCUGAGAAUUUUGUCUAGUGGUAAUUUGGUCCCCUCUUUCUAGUGGAGACAUAAGUUCGAUUCUCGUUUAGGCUAUUUUGAAAGGACAUCUAGGUGAAGGGACGGAUCGGAGCUUUAAUCUCGGGUUCGAACCUAAGGGGGCGCGAGAGUUUACGGAUUUCAUCCGAUUCCCCCGUAUCGUGGGGGUACGGUCUCAUGGCAGUCGAGGAAUCAACCUUGGACAUAGCCCCGAGCAGGGUGGGUUUACACGUGAGAUUCUUUGUCGUUCAAAAUAAAAGUGCAUUUACUAUGCCUUCAAGAAGUUAAUGCGAUUUUCAAUACUUAUUCGUUGAUUCCACUGGGGUGGUGGUCCAUUGGCCUACACGUAAAGCCUCUAAAACACUUUGGGGGGGGGGGGGUCUUGGGUUCAAGUCCCACAGACAACAGGGAAUAAAAGAAAUUUUCCGUUUAAAAAAAUACUUAUUCGUUGAUUCUAAAAUAUUAACAUUUAAUGCAAAUUUAAUUUCUAAAAACCUAACUCUACUCUAUAAAACCAUUACUCUUUUUAAGUUUUUUAUACUUGUGAAAAAUUAGUACACAAAAGUGGAAGUGUCCUCUUAUCCGUUUGAGUUAGGGGUGUGGUAAUCAAGUUUACUUUAAAAAAAAAAGAGUGUAAGCAUGUAACCUUAGGCCUAAACAUGUAGAACAAUCGAAAAGAGCACAUGCCAGGAACAAAUCAAACAAAGAGAGCGCAGCGGAAAAAGUGAAGAACCAUCAAACAGAUCAUAGUGCAACAAUCGAUGAACAAUUGAGGCUCAGGAGAAUCAAAGGAAUCCCAAACUUGUAAAUGCAAGGAGGAGCAGAGUGGAGGGAACUAGCUAGAUGAAGACAUGAGGUGCAUGCAUGUGCAUAGGGGCGUCUUCCACAAAAGCGCUUGGAGGCUCACUACUCAUGUGCCAUGGUCACAUUCGUUCAGUAUAAAGCCCACAAGCCAACACAUGAGGUCGCCUGAGGCGUGCUAAUUACAACAUAGACACUAAAAUGUCAAUAAUGUUCCUCUGCAUGGAGAUCCAAAAGAAAGCAUUUAUAUCAAGUAACCUUCGAGUUUCAUUGAUCCGCUCAUCCACAUCGAUGAGAUAAUGUGUUUCCUAUAGGGGUAUGCACGGUUUCGUUCGACUAGGUUUUAUGGUAAAACCGAAACCAUGACCUACUUAGUCGAGUUCAAAGGGAUAUGCACAGUAAUGUUAUGACCCCGCGAUCUACGGAUGUAGUUUUUAAAAGACUUAGUUUUGCUAUUCAUAAAGGGUUAGCGGCGCAGCUUGUUGCCCGUUUAUCUUCUAUCUCGAUGUAACUUCCGGUUUGAAUAAAAAUUACAUGCCAAAUAAACUUAGCAUUCAAGUAUAAAA